UAGCAGGCUGUAGACCUGCCCACGGGGCAGGCGCCCCCCUCCCAA
rnacentral:tRNA from 1 species